GCAGAAUUGGGGGACCAGCUGGUUGAAGGACUAAGGCAGUAAAUGAGGCAAAGCCAAGCAGAAUGAGAAGGUUCCACUUCCCGAGGCCUAAGCUGAAUUCUUUUGUCUGGGCGGUGAUGAUUAUCAAGGCAAGAUUUCUCUCUUUCUGGGGCUGUCAACAGUCUGGCAGGCUCACACCUCAUUACUUGGCAACAGGUGCAAAGCAAUAAAUCAAGCCGGGAAAAUGUCACUCAGUGGGGACUCCUCAUCUCGGGAGACUCAAUAUUUUUCCUCGAUUCCCAUGGCUAGAGGGCAGAGAAGAAGCCGGCAAGGUCCUGCUGUCCACCGUCCACGAUGAGGCUGGGAUGAAGAGGCAGGAAGGAAGGGUUGCAGGUGGACGCUGCCUCUCUUGAGUGGAAGAGCGCCAAGGCUAAAUGAAAUUGUCUCCGGGCAGGAGCCGGGCCUGGCAGAGUGAACCACUUUGGGAAGGCAGCGUAGGUCUGGGUGGCCUCCUGCUUCCUUGGAUGGCAAUCACGGCUGCAGCCCUCCACCGCAGCGCCCCCCUCCCCGCCACACAACCAAUUCAAGCUUAUCUAAUAAAGAUCCAGAUCAAGCAGACCAAAUGAAAAGGCACUGGAGUCUGAAAGCAACUAAUCGAAUUGGAUUAGCUCUUUUCAACAGCUAAUUUUACCUUUCACUUGUAAAACCUGUAGAUUCCA